rnacentral:pre_miRNA from 1 species
UAUAAUGUUUUGACUCUUCGUCUUAUUUGAAACUUUUUUGUAAUUAAUAUUUUUAUUCUUACUAGAUGAUAAAGCAUAAAUAGUAAUUUAUACGUGACUAUUUUUUAAGUUUUUUUACAAAUUUUUCAAAUAAGACGAAUGAUCAAAUGUUGGACAUAAAAAAAC